GGGUGGCGGAGGAGCCCCCCGCCAGGUACCCCCUGUACCAGUUGGGUGGCCCACAACUUCGGGUGUUCCGAACCAACUUCUUCAUUCAGCUGGUGCGGCCUGGUGUGGCCCAGCCUGAGGACACCGUGCAGUUCCGGAUCCCCAUGGAAAUGACAAGGGUGGACCUCAGGAAUUACCUCGAGAGCAUCUAUAACGUGCCCGUGGCUGCUGUGCGGACACGGGUGCAGCAUGGCUCUAACAGAAGAAGAGAUCACAGAAACGUCAGGAUCAAGAAGCCGGACUACAAGGUCGCCUACGUGCAGCUGGCCCACGGACAGACCUUCACGUUCCCAGAUCUGUUUCCCGAGAAAGACGAGAGCCCUGAAGGCAGCGCUGCCGAUGAUCUCUAUAGCAUGCUCGAGGAGGAGCGGCAGCAGAGGCAGAGCAGCGACCCGCGGCGGGGCGGCAUCCCCAGCUGGUUUGGGCUGUGACGGGGCGGCCAGCAGGGACGUGCCCUAGGUGGGCAGCUGUGGCAGAGCAGUCCCAACACCUAAAUAAAAGUCCUGCGGCAGGAGAAAGAGCCGGAA
rnacentral:sRNA from 1 species